UUGUUGUAUACAUAUGUUCAAAGUCGGUUUCUGUAAAAAAAGAUUGCGCGCCGAAACGAUGGAAAGGAAAACAAGAAGGGCAUACAGGAGGAACUUCCAGAAAGUAAUGGCCCUCAGGAAUCACAACAAAAUAUAAUUAUAAACCAUAAAAGUGAAAAUUUAAGUUGAUUUAAAAUGAUUUUGAAACGUUCAAAAGAGGAGGUUGUGACAAAUCAUUCUAAUUUUUGUCGCAUAGUGUUAAAGACUUAGAAGUGAUGUAUAUUAUUACUAUGUCAUCAUUAAGUAUAAAUUUCAUCAUUGAUUAAAAAAAAAACCCAUAAAAACAUACAAUCGUUUAAAUCCCUUAUACCAUGAACAAAUUGCAAAGUUGUGUUUUUGAGCUAAUCAAACUAUAAACAUUUUUUAUGUCAUUGGUGUUUGCCAUGAGGUUCAAAAUAAUUUGAAUAUCUUAGAAAAAAGAAAUCGGUUUUCCAGGUGUGGUUUAUUUUAAGGCAAGGGGAUUAAAAAAAAUCCAAAGUAAUGCAAUGUAGCAUUAUAGCCUAUAUAUAAAAGUUAUAGUUAUUAUUGUUUAUAUAGAAUGAGGCUAUCCAGGUGAAACUUGAUCUAGUGAACGUUUUUGAUUCCUUAAUGCAUGCAGAAUUUACAAAAGACUAGUAUUGCCCAGAGAGUUUAAUAUAAGAGACAGCAUUUGAAAGUUUUUAUAUUUAUAUAUGUAAAUUGUAGUGAUAUUUUGUUUAAAUGAUCAUUAUUAAUAAAUCGGUGAAAC
rnacentral:misc_RNA from 1 species